rnacentral:lncRNA from 1 species
UGUAUAUGGGUGGCGUUUUUUUUUCCAUAAAUUUGUAUGUUUGCAAUUUAUCUUUUGCCAAGGCAAAAGAAAUGGUGUGUGUGGGAGAACUAAUAUAUUUUAGAGCGAUGGCUUAAUUGCAGGCAGGAAAAAAGGUUUGGAAUGUAUAGCAAAAUGAAGGACAACAAUAUCGAAACCUGGUCUACAGGAACCAAACACACCUACGAUGAAGAGUUGUUUAGACGAUGAAAUCAUGGUCAAUAUUGAUGGAACAUGCAGUGAUGGCUCUACCUAAUAUCACCGCUUCAUGUCUUUCCUACUGGCAGCAAAUACAACACUCAGCCAGGGGUUAAGAGACCAGCUCUAUCUAUAUGAUGCAUCUCUGCUAAAAUAGUUUGCUUUAUAAAGGCAAUGUAAGCUAUCAGCAAGUGAUCUCAUAACUUUCUUUUGAGCUAUCAUGCUACCAUGUAAUGAAAU